rnacentral:ncRNA from 1 species
GGCCACCUUCGGGGGGCUGAAACAUAGGCAGGAAACCUACCUGCCGAUUGCUAACGGAAGACAGAAA